rnacentral:lncRNA from 1 species
CCACAUAUGAAUAGGCUCCAAAGGACAAAUGCCUUUGAGAUGUAAGGAAAACAGCAAGACCCAACCUCAGAUCUUCUCCAUAGGCAUAGAAGGAAAGUGAAGUCAUGCAGCCCCUAGAGCCCCGAGGUAUCUACCUUCUAAAAAUGCACCAGGAUAAGAGAGAAGCUGGAAGAAAAAUAAAUGCAUAAGACUUCCCAGGCAAC